rnacentral:tRNA from 1 species
GCAAAUGUAGCUCAGUUGACAGAUUGCCUGCUUAGUAUGCAUGAGGCCCUGGGUUCAAUCCCAGCACUUUGUA